rnacentral:rRNA from 1 species
UACGGAGGAUGCAAGCGUUAUCCGGAAUGAUUGGGCGUAAAGCGUCCGCAGGUGGCUGUGUAAGUCUGCUGUCAAAGAGCGAAGCUCAACUUCGUAAAGGCAGUGGAAACUACACGGCUAGAGUGCGUUCGGGGCAGAGGGAAUUCCUGGUGUAGCGGUGAAAUGCGUAGAGAUCAGGAAGAACACCGGUGGCGAAGGCGGAUCUCUGGGCCUUGCCUGACGCUGAGGCGCGAAAGCUAGGGGAGCGAACAGG